CUUUGAUGUUUUUUGGCACCCCUUUUGGGUGUCUCUGUUUCUUCACCUGCUUUGCACGGUCUCCCUGCCUGUGCUGUACCAUUUGUGUGCACAGACAGGGACCGCGGAUCACUGGGGAAGCUGUUUUCUCGGGAGCUGCUGUGCUCCCUGACCGCCCUCCCUUCUCCCCUCACGACCGCAUGUGCGGCCGCGUGCGAUGACCCGCUCUACC